rnacentral:lncRNA from 1 species
AAAUAAUAUGAAUUGAUUUCCUUGGCAAAAGUUUUACUUAACUUAGAGGCAGUUCUGGCACUGGAAGGGUUAAUUCACCCAAUGGAGGAGAAAUUAGAAGCCUGAAUUAACAAGCUGAGAAUUAGGAGUGGAGAGUGAGGAAGUCCGUUUUACAAGCCGAGGUCUGGGAGAGGAGAAGGUAGAAUUCCGUUUUACAAGCCGAGGUCGAGAAGUGGAGAAGGUAGAAAUCCGUUUACUAGCCGAGGUCGAGAGAGGAGAAGGUAGAAAUCCGUUUUACAAGCCGAGGUCGAGAGAGGAGAAGGUAGAAAUCCGUUUUACAAGCCGAGGUCGAGAAGUGGAGCUGGUAGCAUCAAGGUAGAGCAGCUGAUCUCUAUGCAGCACCUGAGUGAAUAAUCCAGCCCUUUGAAUCUGGCGCGGUCUUCCUAAGUAUCAUGGAAGGACCGCGUCAGAAAAAUGGGCGGGGCUAAGCGCCGCGAACUCG